rnacentral:snRNA from 1 species
GCGUGUGUCCUGGUGACACAUCUGAACAUCGAUCGCUGUUUAUUUCGGCGGAUCUGUUUGGUUUGGUGUCCCUCUUUAGAACACAUUCCGCAUUAUAUGGAACUCCCGCUGCCUUGUCGCACGGUGGAGAUCUGUUUAAAUUGGCCUCUCGUUUAGGCCCUGGGUAUAAAAAGUUAACAUUCGACUUCUAAAGUUUCUAAAAAAAUUGGGAAGUUGGGGUUAUUCUUCGUAACACAUUUCUGACGCUCUAGAACGGCUCUACAUGUGGUAGACUGCCAGACCUU